rnacentral:lncRNA from 1 species
GCAGAUUGAGCUUCAACAGGAGCAUGGCAUAUAUGCAGAAAGUUUGUUGGAAGGCAUUUCUUUGCUAAUUAACCCACUGUUACCAUACUCUUAGGAUAAAUGCUAAAAUAGACAUUCAGAUAUUUAUCAGCUCACUCUGAAGAGAGGCUAUGGACAGCACAAGUAAUAUUACAUUGACACUCAUGGUAAUAAACAUUACAGCUGGACCCUGCUGAUGGGGAAAACACGGUAGGAAACCAUUAGUGGGCGGCAUGGGGUAUGAUAGGUUAAUCUUAGGUAAUUAGACUUCUAGUUGGACGUCUUGUUUUGGGGAACAGAAAUAGAAGCAACCCCAAUGUUAAUGUUAGCCAAGCUCGUCAUAAAAGAAACAAUAACACUCAAAGGCAGAAGAAAGUAACACUCAAGAAGCCCGACAAUGAGCUACAUUAGACAGACAAGAAGCCCAACAAUGAGCUAUGUUAGACAUGACAAGAAACUGAUACAGGAGCCAAGCAGGAUGGAGUGGAUCCAGGAGCAAAGUGAAAGAGUUAAACAGCCUCACAUCUGCUUCCUGGAGGCCAUGGUCGUACCAUACAGUAAGAACCAUACUCAGACUGAUCCCAAGGGAUUUCUAUCAGAUGCUUUGGAAGCUGCCAGGCAGAGCAUGCCAAAAUUUAGCUACCUCAGUGAACUUGGAAGGCCACUUCUUGAGAGGCCGAAUCACAGGGGUACAAUCCAACACAAAGGAUCUCUCCAUCCUUACUCACCAUAAAUACAGGGAUUUGUCUCCCAAGA